rnacentral:rRNA from 1 species
UUCGAGAUGAGCACUCCCACCUCCUUGAGAGGGUAAGGCUCCCAGUAGACGACUGGGUUGAUAGGCCGGAUAUGGAAGCCCUGUGAGGGGUGGAGUUGACCGGUACUAAUAGGCCGAGGGCUUGUCCUC